AAGAUUCUGGGAGAGCUUUUGUAUGGUGAAAGCUGACAAAGGACAGUGCAGCUUUUUAUUGGACAGCCUUUAGACUAAAGAAAAUUUUCAAGGGAACAUUUCUUAGGGUUAGAAUUUGCAGUAACAGAUGUGAAACCCUAGCAGUAGUGUGAUGUCCUUGUAUGAUACUGCAAUCAGAA